AUGCAUGUAAUUAAGGCCCCUGUCCUGACACAGAGCAGUUUACCGCCUGCUCCCCGCCCCUCGCCCAUCGAUCUUAGCCACCCCGGCCCCUACCCCCCGUCCCGGAGGCAAACCUUGUUGGCUACUAUUGAUCGGCUCCCCCACCGUGGACUGCGUAUGUUCUCAUUGGGACAGCUGCUUUCAUCCUGCGUAAUAGGUGUAGAGUCCUGCGUGCUGCUGUGUGUGUCGAAGCAUUGCUUUCUGCUAGUGACCGGUAUUCCAUCGACUACGUGUGCCACGGUGUGUUUACCCACUCUUCCACAGAUGGAAACCUGGGCAGCUUCCACCUUGGGGAUAGUAUCAAUAAAGCAGCAGCUUACAAUAUGCUGUGAGUUUUCUAUUCGUGUGCACAUAUGUGUGUGCAUGUACAUAUGUGUGCCUGGGUGUGUGCAUGCACAUGUGUGUGCCUGGGUUGUGUACAUGCAUGUGCAUGGAUGCGUGCAUGUACAUAUGGGUGCAUGGUGUGUAUGUGUGUACAUGCGUGUGCACGUACAUAUGGGUGCCUGGGUGUGUGCAUGGAUGCAUGUGUGUACAUAUGGGCACAUGGUGUGUGUGUACAUAUGUGUGCGUGUACAUAUAUGUGCCUGGUGUGUACAUGCACGUGCAUGGAUGCGUGCAUGUACAUAUGGGUGUGGGGGGCGUGUGUACAUGCGUGUGCACGUGCAUAUGGGUGCCUGGGUGUGUGCAUGUACGUGUGUGCAUGGAUGCAUGCAUGUACACGUGGGCACAUGGUGUGUAUGUGUGUACAUAUGUGUGCACGUACAUAUGGGUGCCUGGGUGUGUGCAUGGAUGCAUGUGUGUACAUAUGGGCACAUGGUGUGCGUGUACAUAUGUGUGCGUGUACAUAUAUGUGCCUGGUGUGUACAUGCACGUGCAUGGAUGCGUGCAUGUACAUAUGGAUUUGUGUGGGGCAUGUGUACAUGCGUGUGCACGUGCAUAUGGGUGCCUGGGUGUGUGCAUGGAUGCAUGCAUGUACAUAUGGGGUGUGUACAUGUAGAUACAUGUGCAUGGAUGUGUGCAUGUACUUAUGGGUGCCUGGGUUGUGUGUGCAUGUACAUGUGUGUACAUGGAUGCAUGUGCAUGGAUAUGCAUGGAUGUGUAUACACAUGUGCAUAUGUGUGA
rnacentral:lncRNA from 1 species